rnacentral:rRNA from 1 species
CAUGCAGGUCUAGUAUANGCACUCAUACUGUGAAACUGCGAAUGGCUCAUUAAAUCAGUUAUCGUUUAUUUGAUAGUACCUUACUACUUGGAUACCCGUGGUAAUUCUAGAGCUAAUACAUGCUAAAAACCCCGACUUCGGGAGGGGUGUGUUUAUUAGAUAAAAAACCAAUGCCCUUCGGGGCUGCUUGGUGAUUCAUGAUAACCAAACGAAUCGCAUGGCCUUGAGCCGGCGAUGGUUCAUUCAAAUUUCUGCCCUAUCAACUUUCGAUGGUAGGAUCUGGGCCUACCAUGGUAUCAACGGGUAACGGGGAAUUAGGGUUCGAUUCCGGAGAGGGAGCCUGAGAAACGGCUACCACAUCCAAGGAAGGCAGCAGGCGCGCAAAUUACCCAAUCCCGACGCGGGGAGGUAGUGACAAUAAAUACUGAUACAGGGCUCUUUAGGGUCUUGUAAUUGGAAUGAGUACAAUUUAAACCCCUUAACGAGGAACAAUUGGAGGGCAAGUCUGGUGCCAGCAGCCGCGGUAAUUCCAGCUCCAAUAGCGUAUAUUAAAGUUGUUGCAGUUAAAAAGCUCGUAGUUGAACCUUGGGCCAGGCCGGCCGGUCCGCCUUACCGCGUGCACUGGUUCGGCCGGGCCCUUUCCUCUGGCAAACCGCAUGCCCUUCACUGGGCGUGCCGGGGAACCAGGACUUUUACUUUGAAAAAAUUAGAGUGUUCAAAGCAGGCCUUUGCUCGGAUACAUUAGCAUGGAAUAAUGGAAUAGGACGCGUGGUUCUAUUUUGUUGGUUUCUAGAACCGCCGUAAUGAUUAAUAGGGACAGUCGGGGGCAUCAGUAUUCAGACGCGAGAGGUGAAAUUCUUAGACCGUCUGAAGACUAACUACUGCGAAAGCAUUUGCCAAGGAUGUUUUCAUUAAUCAGUGAACGAAAGUUGGGGGAUCGAAGACGAUCAGAUACCGUCGUAGUCUCAACCGUAAACUAUGCCGACUAGGGAUCGGGCGACGUUCUACUUAUGACUCGCCCGGCACCUUACGAGAAAUCAAAGUCUUUGGGUUCUGGGGGGGAGUAGCUGGUCCAGUGAAGA